rnacentral:rRNA from 2 species
GCAGUCGAACGAACUCUGGUAUUGAUUGGUGCUUGCAUCAUGAUUUACAUUUGAGUGAGUGGCGAACUGGUGAGUAACACGUGGGAAACCUGCCCAGAAGCGGGGGAUAACACCUGGAAACAGAUGCUAAUACCGCAUAACAACUUGGACCGCAUGGUCCGAGUUUGAAAGAUGGCUUCGGCUAUCACUUUUGGAUGGUCCCGCGGCGUAUUAGCUAGAUGGUGAGGUAACGGCUCACCAUGGCAAUGAUACGUAGCCGACCUGAGAGGGUAAUCGGCCACAUUGGGACUGAGACACGGCCCAAACUCCUACGGGAGGCAGCAGUAGGGAAUCUUCCACAAUGGACGAAAGUCUGAUGGAGCAACGCCGCGUGAGUGAAGAAGGGUUUCGGCUCGUAAAACUCUGUUGUUAAAGAAGAACAUAUCUGAGAGUAACUGUUCAGGUAUUGACGGUAUUUAACCAGAAAGCCACGGCUAACUACGUGCCAGCAGCCGCGGUAAUACGUAGGUGGCAAGCGUUGUCCGGAUUUAUUGGGCGUAAAGCGAGCGCAGGCGGUUUUUUAAGUCUGAUGUGAAAGCCUUCGGCUCAACCGAAGAAGUGCAUCGGAAACUGGGAAACUUGAGUGCAGAAGAGGACAGUGGAACUCCAUGUGUAGCGGUGAAAUGCGUAGAUAUAUGGAAGAACACCAGUGGCGAAGGCGGCUGUCUGGUCUGUAACUGACGCUGAGGCUCGAAAGUAUGGGUAGCAAACAGGAUUAGAUACCCUGGUAGUCCAUACCGUAAACGAUGAAUGCUAAGUGUUGGAGGGUUUCCGCCCUUCAGUGCUGCAGCUAACGCAUUAAGCAUUCCGCCUGGGGAGUACGGCCGCAAGGCUGAAACUCAAAGGAAUUGACGGGGGCCCGCACAAGCGGUGGAGCAUGUGGUUUAAUUCGAAGCUACGCGAAGAACCUUACCAGGUCUUGACAUACUAUGCAAAUCUAAGAGAUUAGACGUUCCCUUAGGGGACAUGGAUACAGGUGGUGCAUGGUUGUCGUCAGCUCGUGUCGUGAGAUGUUGGGUUAAGUCCCGCAACGAGCGCAACCCUUAUUAUCAGUUGCCAGCAUUAAGUUGGGCACUCUGGUGAGACUGCCGGUGACAAACCGGAGGAAGGUGGGGAUGACGUCAAAUCAUCAUGCCCCUUAUGACCUGGGCUACACACGUGCUACAAUGGAUGGUACAACGAGUUGCGAACUCGCGAGAGUAAGCUAAUCUCUUAAAGCCAUUCUCAGUUCGGAUUGUAGGCUGCAACUCGCCUACAUGAAGUCGGAAUCGCUAGUAAUCGCGGAUCAGCAUGCCGCGGUGAAUACGUUCCCGGGCCUUGUACACACCGCCCGUCACACCAUGAGAGUUUGUAACACCCAAAGUCGGUGGG